CCCUUUACCUCUUUCCUUCUUCUUUUCCCUCUUUUUUUGCUUCCUCUGUCCUUUUCUCUCUCAGAAUUUCCUUAAAGUUGUACAAUGAUGAACCAUUCCCCUCUUUUCUGAGCCCCCAGAUAAGGCUGACUUCAGCUAACUCAAAUGUUUCCAAAGUCCUUAUGGAAUCAUCAGAAGAAAAUAGAAGAAAGGCCCUGUCCAGGACAUCCGCCUUUCAGAAGCUGUAGUCCCAGUGCGACUGGGUCUCUGAAUUCCCCCGAAUAUUCUUUAAAAUACUCUGUUGGUCAUUAGAAAUUAUUUUAAUUUUAUAGGAAGAAAAUGAGAGAAAAAUAUUAAUUUGCCUAAUUUUUUCAACUGAAGCAAUUCAGGUCCUCUGAAAUUGUUAAAGUCACAGAACUCAAAAGCUCCCCCUUAUGGCAAAACAGAUCCUCUUUUAUUUUGUCCAAGUGUUUAAUAAGUCAAAACGUGUUAGCAGUGGUGGAUUACAAACUAUUAAUUACCAAUCUAUUCCAAUAAGGUAGUGAUAAAAAUAUUCUGUGUGAAGUUUGCAUGUGAAUAGCGUGCUGAAAGCCUGCAAUGAAAUUAACUCCACUAAAUUGUAACUUUCUUCUCCAAGUGCUCUUAUCUUCCGAGCUGCUCCAGAUCUUUCUUGAGAGCUGGCAACAUUGCUACACGCUUCAGGAAGAGAGAAAACCAGGGAGGAAGAAUGUUUGUUGGUGAAAGUAUGACGAUUUGUCGGAUGAGCAAAUGACUCAGACAUCCCCUCUAUGAAAGCUGGAAUGCGAUAUAUGCAAAGAUCAUGGAAGCGUUCUGAAAAUGGGAGAUCUCAGAUUCAUACCUUCCUAGUUUAGAAAGAAAUUGCUCUAUAGUCUUAGACUAAGUACAUUUGAACUAUGUUUCUGUAGUCAUAAAAUGAAAAUAGCACCAUAACCUAAAUGUGUUUCCAGAGACUGGCUGGAGGAAAGAAAAUCUUGGAUGCACAAUGUCAUGAAUAAAGAAUUCGCCUAAGCAAAUCUUUGACUUUUUGCAACUCCAAGUCAUCUGUAAAAGGCUGCCAUUGGAUAAAAAGAGAGCUAUGUUGAACAACAUAAAUUGUAUCAUUCAAAAUCCCGCUUCCUCUCCAAUAGAGGCUGGAUCAUGACUACUGAUUUACUUCAGUUGUGGCAAUUAGGCAUUUAGAAACUGCAUGUCUUCCAGGGGGAUUUUUAGUCAUUGUAUGCAGUAAUUUUGAAUAUUCCUAGACAACUGGGAAUUAUUCAAUUCUCAGACCAGCAGUGGGAGCACAAGAUUUUUCCUUCUCAUUUCCUACUCCCUUCAACUCAUAUCAGUUCUCUGGCCUUGAGUAAGUCACUUCAUUUCUCUUCCCUUCCGCUUCCUUACCUUUAAAAUGGGAAUAUCUACUUGGCAAAUUUAUUUUGAAGACAAGAUAUGCUCUGGAGUAUAAUCUUUUGUAAACAAUAAAAAUGAUAUAUGAA